GCCUAGGCGCUAUGCGGCGCUGCGCCGCAAAACCCCGCCAGAGCCGGAAGGCAGCAACGGUAUGCGGAUGCAACGCGCGCCGUAGUAUGCCUAGGCUCA
rnacentral:SRP_RNA from 1 species